rnacentral:tRNA from 2 species
GCCCGGGUGGUGGAAUUGGUAGACGCGCCGGACUCAAAAUCCGGUUCCCGCAAGGGAGUGAGGGUUCGAGUCCCUCCCCGGGCA